rnacentral:rRNA from 1 species
AUUAGCCAUGCAUGUCUCAGUACAAGCCGAAUUAAGGUGAAACCGCGAAAGGCUCAUUAAAUCAGUUAUGGUUCCUUAGAUCGUACCCACACUUACUUGGAUAACUGUGGUAAUUCUAGAGCUAAUACAUGCAAACAGAGCUCCGACCGGAGACGGAAGGAGCGCUUUUAUUAGAUCAAAACCAAUCGGUGGCGGGUUCGCGCUCGUCAUCGUACAACUUGGUGACUCUGAAUAACUUUACGCUGAUCGCACGGUCUAGCACCGGCGACGCAUCUUUCAAAUGUCUGCCUUAUCAACUGUCGAUGGUAGGUUCUGCGCCUACCAUGGUUGUAACGGGUAACGGGGAAUCAGGGUUCGAUUCCGGAGAGGGAGCCUGAGAAACGGCUACCACAUCCAAGGAAGGCAGCAGGCGCGCAAAUUACCCACUCCCGGCACGGGGAGGUAGUGACGAAAAAUAACGAUACGGGACUCAUCCGAGGCCCCGUAAUCGGAAUGAGUACACUCUAAACCCUUUAACGAGGAUCAAUUGGAGGGCAAGUCUGGUGCCAGCAGCCGCGGUAAUUCCAGCUCCAAUAGCGUAUAUUAAAGUUGUUGCGGUUAAAAAGCUCGUAGUCGAAUCUGUGUCCCGCGCCGCCGGUUCAUCGUCCGCGGUGUUAACUGGCGUGCCGCGGGACGUCCUGCCGGUGGGCUUAGCUCGCAAGGGCGGCCCAACUCAAUCCCGCCGCGGUGCUCUUCACUGAGUGUCGAGGUGGGCCGGCACGUUUACUUUGAACAAAUUAGAGUGCUUAAAGCAGGCUAAAACUUCGCCUGAAUACUGUGUGCAUGGAAUAAUGGAAUAGGACCUCGGUUCUAUUUUGUUGGUUUUCGGAACCCCGAGGUAAUGAUUAAUAGGAACGGAUGGGGGCAUUCGUAUUGCGACGUUAGAGGUGAAAUUCUUGGGAUCGUCGCAAGACGGACAGAAGCGAAAGCAUUUGCCAAAAACGCUUUCAUUGAUCAAGAACGAAAGUUAGAGGUU